AUUGAACGCUGGCGGCAGGCCUAACACAUGCAAGUCGAGCGGAUGAAGGGAGCUUGCUCCUGGAUUCAGCGGCGGACGGGUGAGUAAUGCCUAGGAAUCUGCCUGGUAGUGGGGGAUAACGUCCGGAAACGGGCGCUAAUACCGCAUACGUCCUGAGGGAGAAAGUGGGGGAUCUUCGGACCUCACGCUAUCAGAUGAGCCUAGGUCGGAUUAGCUAGUUGGUGGGGUAAAGGCCUACCAGGGCGACGAUCCGUAACUGGUCUGAGAGGAUGAUCAGUCACACUGGAACUGAGACACGGUCCAGACUCCUACGGGAGGCAGCAGUGGGGAAUAUUGGACAAUGGGCGAAAGCCUGAUCCAGCCAUGCCGCGUGUGUGAAGAAGGUCUUCGGAUUGUAAAGCACUUUAAGUUGGGAGGAAGGGCAGUAAGUUAAUACCUUGCUGUCUUGACGUUACCAACAGAAUAAGCACCGGCUAACUUCGUG
rnacentral:rRNA from 1 species